rnacentral:rRNA from 1 species
CACGCCGCGUGAGUGAUGAAGGUUUUCGGAUCGUAAAGCUCUGUUGUUAGGGAAGAACAAGUGCCGUUCAAAUAGGGCGGCACCUUGACGGUACCUAACCAGAAAGCCACGGCUAACUACGUGCCAGCAGCCGCGGUAAUACGUAGGUGGCAAGCGUUGUCCGGAAUUAUUGGGCGUAAAGGGCUCGCAGGCGGUUUCUUAAGUCUGAUGUGAAAGCCCCCGGCUCAACCGGGGAGGGUCAUUGGAAACUGGGGAACUUGAGUGCAGAAGAGGAGAGUGGAAUUCCACGUGUAGCGGUGAAAUGCGUAGAGAUGUGGAGGAACACCAGUGGCGAAGGCGACUCUCUGGUCUGUAACUGACGCUGAGGAGCGAAAGCGUGGGGAGCGAACAGGAUUAGAUACCCUGGUAGUCCACGCCGUAAACGAUGAGUGCUAAGUGUUAGGGGGUUUCCGCCCCUUAGUGCUGCAGCUAACGCAUUAAGCACUCCG